GAGCGAAAUUUAGUAGCGAAGUAGCUGAUUUCACACUGUCAAGAAAAGUCUCUAUCGAGGUUAAAGGUACCCGUACCGCAAACCGACACAGGUGGGGGAGGAGAGUAUCCUAAGGCCAGCGAGAGAACUGUUGUUAAGGAACUCGGCAAAAUGACCCCGUAACUUAGGGAUAAGGGGUGCCACCAUCAGGUGGCCGCAGAGAAUAGGCCCAAGCGACUGUUUACCAAAAACAUAGGUUUCUGCUAAGUCGCAAGACGAUGUAUAGGAGCUGACGCCUGCCCG
rnacentral:rRNA from 1 species